rnacentral:rRNA from 1 species
UACGGAGGAUCCAAGCGUUAUCCGGAAUUACUGGGCGUAAAGAGUUGCGUAGGUGGCAUAGUAAGCAAGAUAUGAAAGCGUGUGGCUCAACCAUACAUGGCAUAUUUUGAACUGCUGAGCUAGAGAACGAGAGAGGUAGAUGGAAUUCCCAGUGUAGGAGUGAAAUCCGUAGAUAUUGGGAGGAACACCGAUGGCGUAGGCAGUCUACUGGCUCGUUUCUGACACUAAGGCACGAAAGCGUGGGGGGCAAACGGG